rnacentral:miRNA from 1 species
GAUCUGAUGGAUCUGAUGGAUCUGGUGGAUCCAUUUUUUUUAUAUAACUAAAAUCCAUUGGAUCCAUCAGAUCCAUUUUUUUUAUAUAACUCGGAUCCAUCAGAUCCAUCAGAUCCACCGGAU